rnacentral:rRNA from 1 species
AUUGAACGCUGGCGGCAGGCCUAACACAUGCAAGUCGAGCGGAUGAAGGGAGCUUGCUCCUGGAUUCAGCGGCGGACGGGUGAGUAAUGCCUAGGAAUCUGCCUGGUAGUGGGGGAUAACGUCCGGAAACGGGCGCUAAUACCGCAUACGUCCUGAGGGAGAAAGUGGGGGAUCUUCGGACCUCACGCUAUCAGAUGAGCCUAGGUCGGAUUAGCUAGUUGGUGGGGUAAAGGCUUACCAAGGCGACGAUCCGUAACUGGUCUGAGAGGAUGAUCAGUCACACUGGAACUGAGACACGGUCCAGACUCCUACGGGAGGCAGCAGUGGGGAAUAUUGGACAAUGGGCGAAAGCCUGAUCCAGCCAUGCCGCGUGUGUGAAGAAGGUCUUCGGAUUGUAAAGCACUUUAAGUUGGGAGGAAGGGCAGUAAGUUAAUACCUUGCUGUUUUGACGGUACCAACAGAAUAAGCACCGGCUAACUUCGUG